rnacentral:tRNA from 1 species
GCUUCCAUGGCGUAACAGAUAGCGUCACUGUCUUCUAAACAGUGGGUGAAGGUGCAAUUCCUUCUGGGAGCA